rnacentral:rRNA from 1 species
GAUGAACGCUGGCGGCGUGCCUAAUACAUGCAAGUCGAGCGAACGGACGAGAAGCUUGCUUCUCUGAUGUUAGCGGCGGACGGGUGAGUAACACGUGGAUAACCUACCUAUAAGACUGGGAUAACUUCGGGAAACCGGAGCUAAUACCGGAUAAUAUUUUGAACCGCAUGGUUCAAAAGUGAAAGACGGUCUUGCUGUCACUUAUAGAUGGAUCCGCGCUGCAUUAGCUAGUUGGUAAGGUAACGGCUUACCAAGGCAACGAUGCAUAGCCGACCUGAGAGGGUGAUCGGCCACACUGGAACUGAGACACGGUCCAGACUCCUACGGGAGGCAGCAGUAGGGAAUCUUCCGCAAUGGGCGAAAGCCUGACGGAGCAACGCCGCGUGAGUGAUGAAGGUCUUCGGAUCGUAAAACUCUGUUAUUAGGGAAGAACAUAUGUGUAAGUAACCGUGCACAUCUUGACGGUACCUAAUCAGAAAGCAACGGCUAACUACGUG